rnacentral:rRNA from 1 species
UAGGGGAUCUUCCGCAAUGGACGAAAGUCUGACGGAGCAACGCCGCGUGAGUGAUGAAGGUUUUCGGAUCGUAAAACUCUGUUGUUAGGGAAGAACAAGUACCGUUCGAAUAGGGCGGCACCUUGACGGUACCUAACCAGAAAGCCACGGCUAACUACGGG